GACGAACGCUGGCGGCGUGCUUAACACAUGCAAGUCGAACGGAAAGGCCCUGCUUUUGUGGGGUGCUCGAGUGGCGAACGGGUGAGUAACACGUGAGUAACCUGCCCUUGACUUUGGGAUAACUUCAGGAAACUGGGGCUAAUACCGGAUAGGAGCUCCUGCUGCAUGGUGGGGGUUGGAAAGUUUCGGCGGUUGGGGAUGGACUCGCGGCUUAUCAGCUUGUUGGUGGGGUAGUGGCUUACCAAGGCUUUGACGGGUAGCCGGCCUGAGAGGGUGACCGGCCACAUUGGGACUGAGAUACGGCCCAGACUCCUACGGGAGGCAGCAGGGGGGAAUAUUGCACAAUGGGCGGAAGCCUGAUGCAGCAACGCCGCGUGCGGGAUGACGGCCUUCGGGUUGUAAACCGCUUUCGCCUGUGACGAAGCGUAAGUGACGGUAAUGGGUAAAGAAGCACCGGCUAACUACGUG
rnacentral:rRNA from 1 species